GACGAACGCUGGCGGCGUGCUUAACACAUGCAAGUCGAACGGAAAGUCCCUGCUUUUGUGGGGUCCUCUAGUUGCGAACGGGUGAGUUACACGUGAGUAACCUACCCUUGACUUUGGUUUAACUUCAUGAAACUUAGUGUAAUCCCGGCUAAGAUCUCCCGCUUCUUGGUGGGUGUUGGUAAGUUUAGGCGGUUGGGGAUGGACUCGCGCCUUAUCACGUUGUUGGUGGGGUAGUGGAUUACCAUGGCUUUGACCGGUAGCAGGCCUGCGAGGGUGAGAGGACAAGUUGGGAUGGAGAUGCGGCACAGACUACUCCGGGAGGCAGCAGUGGGGAAUAGUGCACAAUGGGAGGAAGCCUGAUGCAGCAACGCCGUGUGCGGGAUGACGGCAAUCGGGUUGUAAACCGCUUUCGCCUGUGACGAAGCGUGAGUGACGGUAAUGGGUAAAGAAGCACCGGCUAACUACGUG
rnacentral:rRNA from 1 species